rnacentral:rRNA from 1 species
UGCCAGCCGCCGCGGUAAUACGUAGGGAGCGAGCGUUGUUCGGAUUUACUGGGCGUAAAGAGCAUGUAGGCGGGUAUGCAAGUCGGUUGUGAAAUCCUCUGGCUCAACCAGAGAACUGCAAUCGAAACUGCAUACCUUGAGUCUAUCAGAGGAAACCGGAAUCAAGCGUGUAGCGGUGAAAUGCGUAGAUAUGCUUGAGAACACCAGUGGCGAAGGCGGGUUUCUGGGAUAGCACUGACGCUGAGAUGCGAAAGCUAGGGGAGCGAACAGGAUUAGAUA